AAUGUAUUUUUCUAACAGGUUCGGGCAUUCCUUUUGGGCGAAUUGAAUUUAGCGGCCGCGAAUUCGCCCUUAGAGUUUGAUCCUGGCUGAGGAUGAACGCUGGCGGCGUGCCUAACACAUGCAAGUCAAGGAGAAGUUUCACUUCGGUGAAGCGGAUACUGGCGCACGGGUGAGUAACACGUGGAUAAUCUGCCCUUUACACAGACAUAACUCAGGGAAACUUGAGCUAAUAUCUGAUGAGGCCUCCGGGUCAAAGCUUCGGCGGUAAAGGGUGAGUCUGCGUCUGAUUAGCUAGUUGGUAAGGUAAUGGCUUACCAAGGCGACGAUCAGUAACUGGUCUGAGAGGACGAUCAGUCACACUGGAACUGAGACACGGUCCAGACUCCUACGGGAGGCAGCAGUGAGGAAUUUUGGACAAUGGGGGAAACCCUGAUCCAGCGACGCCGCGUGUGGGAUGAAUGGGUUAUGCCCUGUAAACCACUGUCAGCAGAGAAGAAAAGGUUCCUUUGGAACCCGGGACUGUAUCUGCAGAGGAAGGACCGGCUAACUACGUGCCAGCAGCCGCGGUAAUACGUAGGGUCCAAGCGUUAUCCGGAAUUACUGGGUAUAAAGGGUGCGUAGGCGGUCUUGUGCGUCGAAGGUUAAAGGCCAUGGCUCAACCAUGGAAAUGCCCUCGAUACGGCAAGACUUGAGUAUGAGAGAGGAAGAUGGAAUUCCUGGUGUAGCAGUGAAAUGCGUAGAUAUCAGAGGAACACCGGUGGCGAAGCGGUCUUCUGGCUCAUUACUGACGCUGAGCACGAAAGUGUGGGGAGCGAACAGGAUUAGAUACCCUGGUAGUCCACACCGUAAACGAUGUAUGCUUGGUGUUAGAACAAAUUGUUGUUCUAGUGCCGGAGAUAAUUCGUUAAGCAUACCACCUGGGAAGUACGAUCGCAAGGUUUGAAACUCAAAGGAAUUGACGGGGGCCGCACAAGCGGUGAUUAUGUGGUUUAUUUCGAUGCAACGGCGAAGAACCUUACCAGGCUUGAAGUGUAACGGACUACUGCCGAAAGGUAGUUUCCUUUCGGGUCGUUACAAAGGUGCUGCAUUGCUGUCGUCAGCUCGUGCCUGAGUGUUGGGUUAAGUCCCGCACGAACGCAACCCCUAUCUUAGUUGCCUUCAGGUUUGCUGGAAACUUAAAAAAACUGCCCGCGCAAGCGGAAAUAUGGCGGAAAAACUUCAGUCUUCUUUGGCCUUAUUUCUGCUACCCCGGUUAUUAAGGAAGAAAACAUGGGCCAACCGGCGGGGGGUCAGAAAAUAUUAC
rnacentral:rRNA from 1 species